GACUGGCAGCCAGGGCGGGUUUUUGUAGAGGGGGGCAAGCUGGAGCUGGCACUGUGGCUCACGUUCGGUGGCGGGACCAAGUUGGAGAUGAAACGGGACGUGGCUAGACCAAGUGUCUCUAUCUUCCCACCGUCUUCGGAGCAGUUGCAGUCCGGAGGGGCCACGGUUGUGUGCUUUGUGAAUGACUUCUACCCCAGAGACAUCAACGUGAAGUGGAAGGUGGACAACGCCUAUUACAACAGCAAUAUCCAGAACAGCUUCACAGAGCAGAACUCCAAGGACAGCACGUACAGCCUCAGCAGCACCCUGUCGCUGACCAGCUCAGAGUACAACAAUCACAAGAGCUAUACCUGCGAGGUCAGCCACAGCAGCCUGUCCUCGCCCAUCACCAAGACGGUCAAAAGGAACGAGUGCUAGAGUCAGAGGCCGCGCCCUCCCGCCGCAGGCCUGGGCCCUCUCCUCACGAGGGACCCACCCCAGUUGCAGUCCUCCUCCCCCUCCCCACCUCACCCCUCCUCCUCCUUGGCUUGAAUCAGCUGGUAAUGGGGGAACAACAAAUAAAAUCAAUCUUUGCACCUGA